AUAUUCCCAUCUUCACUCAUAUUCCAUCUUAACUCAUAUUACUUAUAAUUAAUUACGUCUUGUUUUUUCUUCAGCAUGGCGAGAGUUUCUGUUUUGUUAUGUUUGGUUUUAUUGGUUACAUUAGGAGUCGUGGUGAGUUUCUCAUUUGCACACAACACGGAUACGACAUUGCAACAUCAGGAGAGCAGUAAGACAGCAACUACACUUGAUCAUAAGAGUACACAUAACGUGCAAGCAGGACAACAGGUCACUGGUGAUCAACAUGGCCAUAAGAAGAAGGGUGAAGAUACCGAUGAUGAAACUGAUACAGAUGAUGAUCAUACCGAUGAUGAUACUGAUGAUGAUACGGAUGAUGAUAAGAAAAAGAAGAAGACAGUAAAAACUCUAUAGAUUAAUAAAAUUGGCACAAUAAUAAUUUAUUACAUGAAUUUUAUUUUUAUAUUUAUAUUUUAAAAUAUCUUUAUUUAGAGAAAUAACAGGAAUGUAUCAUGUCCCGAUAUUAUAUAUUGGCUAAACUUUAUAGAUUUGAAUUUAUAUAUAUUGACAUCAUAUACUCCAUCCGUUCA
rnacentral:lncRNA from 1 species